rnacentral:rRNA from 1 species
CCUACGGGUGGCAGCAGUGGGGAAUAUUGGACAAUGGGGGGAACCCUGAUCCAGCCAUGCCGCGUGUGUGAAGAAGGCCCUCGGGUUGUAAAGCACUUUCAGUGAGGAAGAACGCCUGGUGGUUAAUACCCAUCAGGAAAGACAUCACUCACAGAAGAAGCACCGGCUAACUCCGUGCCAGCAGCCGCGGUAAUACGGAGGGUGCGAGCGUUAAUCGGAAUUACUGGGCGUAAAGCGCGCGUAGGUGGCUUGAUAAGCCGGUUGUGAAAGCCCCGGGCUCAACCUGGGAACGGCAUCCGGAACUGUCAAGCUAGAGUGCAGGAGAGGAAGGUAGAAUUCCCGGUGUAGCGGUGAAAUGCGUAGAGAUCGGGAGGAAUACCAGUGGCGAAGGCGGCCUUCUGGACUGACUCUGACACUGAGGUGCGAAAGCGUGGGUAGCAAACAGGAUUAGAUACCCUGGUAGUC